rnacentral:rRNA from 1 species
GAUGAACGCUGGCGGCGUGCCUAAUAUAUGCAAGUCGAGCGAACAGACGAGGAGCUUGCUCCUCUGACGUUAGCGGCGGACGGGUGAGUAACACGUGGAUACCCUCCUUAUAAGACUGGGAUAACUUCGGGAAACCGGAGCUAAUACCGGAUAAUCUAUUGAACCGCAUGGUUUAAUUGUCAAAGACGGUUUUGCUUUUACUUAUAGAUGGCUCCGCGCCGCAUUAGCUAGUUGGUAAGGUACCGGCUUACCAAGGCAACGAUGCUUAGCCGACCUGAGAGGGUGAUCGGCCACACUGGAACUGAGACACGGUCCAGACUCCUACGGGAGGCAGCAGUAGGGAAUCAUCCGCAAAGGGCGAAAGGCUGACGGAGCAAAGCCGCGUGAGGGAUGAAGAUCUUCGGAUCGUAAAACUCGGUUAUUAGGGAAGAACAAAUGUGUAAGUAACGAGGCACGUCUUGACGGUACCUAAUCAGAAAGCCACGGCUAACCACGUG